UACGUAGGGUGCAAGCGUUUAAUCGGAAUUACUGGGCGUAAAGCGCGCGUAGGCGGCUCGGAAAAGUCGGGCGUGAAAUGCCGGGGCUCAACCCCGGGACUGCGUCCGAUACUUCCGAGCUGGAGGUAGGUAGGGGAGAUCGGAAUUCCUGGUGUAGCGGUGAAAUGCGCAGAUAUCAGAGGAACACCGGUGGCGAAGGCGGAUCUCUGGGCCUUACCUGACGCUGAGGCGCGAAAGCUAGGGGAGCGAACAGG
rnacentral:rRNA from 1 species